rnacentral:rRNA from 1 species
UACGGGGGGGGCAAGCGUUGUUCGGAAUUACUGGGCGUAAAGGGCUCGUAGGCGGCCAACUAAGUCGGACGUGAAAUCCCCAGGCUUAACCUGGGAACUGCAUCCGAUACUGGAUGGCUUGAAUCCGGGAGAGGGAUGCGGAAUUCCAGGUGUAGCGGUGAAAUGCGUAGAUAUCUGGAGGAACACCGGUGGCGAAGGCGGCAUCCUGGACCAACACUGACGCUGAGGAGCGAAAGCCAGGGGAGCAAACGGG